GAAGUCCCAGCCUGUUUUGUCUCUUGCAGUAGCCACUCCUUACAGAGCCUGAAAGAGAAGGGGAGCGUCCAGCCGCCAUCUUGGGCUCUGUCUUGUCAUCCCUUGAACAAGUCUGUCUUCUCUCUCUUUUUUUUUUUGAGACAGAGUCUCGCUCUUUCGCCCAGGCCGGACUGCAGUGGCACUAUCUCGGCUCACUGCAAGCUCCGCCUCCCGGGUUCACGCCACUCUCUUGCCUCAGCCUCCCUAGUAGCUGGGACUACAGGCGCCCGCUACCGCGUCUGGCUAAUUUUUUGUAUUUUUAGUAGAGACGGGGUUUCACCCCGUUAACCAGAGAGAAUGGGCAAGGGGUCAUCGAUGGACCGGAGAUGGGAUGGUAGGGACAGAAACUGCAGGGUCCGCAGAAGGAACUGCUCACCGAAAGCCAACAAGCUUGCCCUGUGGAAUCCCAGAAAGGCCCAGGAACUUCGGGACAUCACUGAAGGCAGAGUGAAGAGAGGAAGAGAAGACAGAGAAAUGGAGGGGAGAAAACUAUUAAAAUAAGUAAUAAGAAAACUUUCCCCAGAAGUGCAGAAUCUGAAUUUCCAGUAUAAAAGGGUCCAUUGAGCGCCAAGAACAAUGAAGGAAAAAAGGUCCCACUCAGGCCUACGUAUCAUUGUGAAAUUUCAGAACUAGAGGGAUAAAGAAAAGAUCCUAAAAGCUUCCCGAGAGAUAAAAAAGAAGAUUUUUACAAAGGAUCAGCAAUCAGAAUUGCCUCAGACUGCUCAAUAAAAACAUCAGAAGCUAGAAGAAAAUAGAAUGAGGCAUCAAAAUCCUGAGGGAAAUGAUUCCCACCUAUAAUUUCAUAUUCUGCUCAAUUAUCAAUUGAGUAUUGAAGGGAAAUAAAGACAUUUUUAGACAUGCAGUUUCUCCACUUGAUCUUAGCCCAAAGGCCGAGAGGCAAUGACAUGCAGUUUCUCAAAAGGUUUGCUUCCCACUUUCUUGGAAAAAACCAAGAAAGAGGGGGCCUGGGGAACCAGGGGAUCCCAACACAGGAGAGUGGCAGAGGAAGCUCCCAGGAUGAUGGAAAAUGGAAGCAAACCAGCCCAGAUGGAAGGAGAAGGGCCUGGCAUGGUGGCUCACACCUGUAAUCCCAGCACUUUGGGAGGUCAAGGUGGGCAGAUCACUUGAGAUCAGGAGUUCGAGACUAGCCUAGCCAACAUAGUGAAACCCUGUCUUUACCAAAAAAUACAAAAAUUAGCCGGGUGUGGUGGCAGGUGCCUGUAAUCCCAGCUACUCGGGAAGCUGAGGCAGGAGAAUUGCUUGAAUCUGGGAGGCAGAGGUUGCAGUGAGCCGAGAUCGCACCACAGCACUCCAGCCUGGGCAACAGAGAGAGACUCCAUCUCAAGAAAAAAAUAAAAAAAAUAAAAAAAGGAGAAGGACAGAGGGUUCCAGGAGGAUGAUCAGUGAGAAAAAAAUGGAAUGGGUAGAUUAUCUGAAUUUCUUGGUGUGUGGAAAUAUUAAAAGGCUCUUAGAAGAUCUAAGAAAAGUUAUUGUUAGGUAUCUAGAAUAGUAAGCAAAUUUUAAAAAAGAAA
ensembl:lncRNA LINC02710 long intergenic non-protein coding RNA 2710